rnacentral:lncRNA from 1 species
GGGACUACAGGCGCCCGCCAUCACGCCCGGCUGCUUUUUUUGUUUUAGUAGAGAGGAGGUUUCACCGUGUUAGCCAGGAUGGUCUCAAUCUCCUGACCUCGUGAUCCGCCCGCCUCGGCCUCUCAAAGUGCUGGGAUUACACGCGUGAGCCACCGCGCCUGGCCUGAAGAAAUAGGAAGAAGAAAAGCUUUUUGAAUGAAUCACUUCUCAUCUUCUCCGAAGUUGGAAGCAUCAAGAAUCUAAAUAAGCAUUUAUGAUGGCUGGCAUGAAUAUGCGGAAGAUAGAAUGGGAGUCCUAGUUGACCUUCAUAUAAUUUUUAGAAGAUGGAGCACUUCAACUUCUUCCACUCAUGAAAAGAGAGGUGACAGGUGAAGACAGAACAAGAAAACAAACCAAGAAUUUCCCCUCACCAGCCACCAGCUCUGCCAGCAACUUGAUCUUAGACUUCCCAGCCUCCGUAACGCCUCUGCUUAUAAUCUGUCAUGGAUUGGAAAACUAGAAAAAACAGUUUACAGAGUAUAACAAACUUUGGAGGAGUUAAUCGACUCUAAGUAAAAGAGUAUCUAGCACGGCUGUGGAACAAAGGAGAGACUCACAAACUGUUGAAAGAAUAAAUGAAUGAAUGAAUUCUGUUCAUGAGCUUUAAUAAAACAGCUCUGAGUAGUAACAGUGGAUCAAAUUUAGGCUUCUUGAUGCAGGCAUGGUGUAGAUUACUACUUCUGUAUUGUCCCAGGAGCUCAGCACAUUCCUGCAGAGAUGAUAGGAGCUCAUCUGAUACUUGUCAGCUUUGAAUAAACUCCAGUCCCCAAGAGAGAGAAUGAGAAUCACCGGAAUACGAAACUUCCCUGUUGGACUUCCCAACAUUCUUGAAUGCACCAAGAUAGCCUCUUGCUGUGAGAUUAAUAAAUGAAUAAAUGCCUCCAUAUUUUUCAAAUCUGUGAAGUUAACAACAUGUAGAUUUUUUUGCAUAUUUAAAAACUGCAACUAAAUCUUAAUGCCUCUGAAGCAGAUGGAAGAAAAUAAUAGGCUUCCAUUAACUGUGUCAAAUUGUAUAGGUCUUGGCCAUCACUGGUCCUGUUGUGAUGAAGGUUUUUUGCCCUUGGAUAUAAUUUAAUUUUCAAUUCUUCUAAUUAUGGUACUUCAGAACAUCAAUAUUUGAGAUGAACUUCUCUAGUGUCAAGGACUGAUUUGAGUUGUGUAAACCCUGAAUAUCUGAGACAGGUCUCGAUUAUUUUAGAAAGUUUAUUUUGCCAAGGUUGAGGAUGUGUGCCUGUGACACGGCCUCGGGAGGUCCUGAGGACAUGUGCUCAAGGUGGUCAGAGCACAGCUUUGCUUUAUACAUUUUAGAGAGACAUGAGACAUCAACCGACAUAUGUAAGAUGAACAUUGGUUCCAUCUGGAAAGGCGAGACAACUUCAAACGAGGAGGGGGCUUCCAGGUCAUAGGUAGAUAAGAGACAAAUGGCUGCAUUCUUUUGAGUUUCUGAUUAGCCUUUCCAAAGGAGGCAAUUAGAGUGAGCAAAAUGAACAAAAUCAAUUAUUUUGAUUCUGAACAAAAUGGGAGGCUGGUUUUCCCUAAGCAGUUCCCAGCUUGACUUUUCCCUUUAGCUGAGGGAUUUGGGGGGCCCAAGAUUUAUUUUUCUUUCACCGUUGUAUCAAACUACACAGGCGGCCUUGGAAACCAUCACAGUUGAGAGUAGGUAACGCCCAUUUGUUGCAUAGUUUUGUGCUCCACACUCUUAUCUACAAAAUUAUGAAUUUUUUUACAUAUAUUAAUUUCAGAAAAACUAAAAAUAAAACAAAGUAGUUUCAAACUAGUAUUGUUUUUAUAUCUUAAAAAUAAAGCUUUAUAUACUCUCCUUAC